rnacentral:misc_RNA from 1 species
UGGCUCUCCCAUCGAUGAAGAACGCAGCGAAAUGCGAUAAGUAAUGUGAAUUGCAGAAUUCAGUGAAUCAUCGAAUCUUUGAACGCACCUUGCGCCCUUUGGUAUUCCGAAGGGCAUGCCUGUUUGAGUGUCAUUAAAUUCUCAACUUUGUUUUUUCAAAGCUUGGAUGUGAGGGCUUGCUGGCUUCCUUCAGUGGCGGUCUGCUCCCUUUAAAUGCAUUAGUGGGGAUCCUUUGUGGACGGUCACUUUGGUGUGAUAAUUUAUCUACGCCUCGUACCAUGAAACAAUCUAAUGGAAUCCUGCUCAUAACCGUCCGCAAGGACAACAUUCCUUUGACCAUUUGACCUCAAAUCAGGUAGGACUACCCGCUGA